rnacentral:lncRNA from 1 species
CCUUUCCAUGUUUAUUGCUUCUUUCAGGAGCUCUUGUAAAGCAGGCCUGGUGGUGAUGAAACCUCUGAGUAAUUGCUUGGUCUUAAAGGAUUUUAUUUCUCCUUUGCUUAUGAAGCUUAGUUUGGCUGCAUAUGAAAUUCUGGGUUGAAAGUUCUUUUCUUUAAGGAUGUUGAAUAUUGGCCCCCACUCUCUUCUGGCUUGUAGAGUUUCUGCCAAGAGAUCUGCUGUGAGUCUGAUGGGCUUCCCUUUGUGGAUGACCUGACCUUUCUCUCUGGCUGCCCUUAGUAUUUUCUCCUGUAUUUCAACCCUGGUGAAUCUGACGAUUAUGUGCCUUGGGGUUGUUCUUCUUGAGGAAUAUCUUUGUGGUGUUCUCUGUAUUUCCUGGACUUGAAUAUUGGCCUGCCUUGCUAGGUUGGGGAAAAUUUUCUGGAUAAUAUCCUGAAGAGUAUUUUCCAGCUUGGAUUCAUUCUCUCCGUCACAUUCUGGUGCACCUAUCAAACAUAGAUUAGGUCUCUUCACAUAGUCCCACAUUUCUUGGAGACUUUGUUCAUUCCUUUUUGUGCUUUUUUCUCUAAUCUUGGUUUCUCAUUUUAUUUCAUUGAGUUGAUCUUCGACUUAUGAUAUUCUUUCUUCUGCUUGGUCAAUUCGGCUGUUGAAACUUGUGCACGCUUCGUGAAGUUCUCGUAUUGUGUUUUUCAGCUCCUUCAAUUCAUUCAUAUUCCUCUCUAAGUUAUCCGUUCUUGUUAAUAUUUCCUCGAAUCUUUUUUCAAAUCUUUUUUCAAGUUUCUUAGUUUCUUUGCAUUGAUUUAAAACAUGUUCUUUUAGCUCACAAAAGUUUCUCAUUAUCCGCCUUCUGAAGUCUAAUUUCGUCAUUUUGUCACAGUCAUUCUCUGUCCAGCUUUGUUCCCUUGCUGGUGAGGAGUUUUGGUCCUUUGUAGGAGUUGCAGUGUUCUGGUUUCGGGUGUUUACCUCCCUUUUGCGCUGGUUUCUUCCCAUCCUUUGUGGAUUUAUCCACCUGUCGUCUCAGUAGUUGCUGACUUUUCAAUUGGGUCUCUGCGUGGACGCCCAGAUUGUUGAUGAUGAAGGAUUUCUGUUACUUGGUUUUCCUUCUACCAGUCUAACCCCUCUGCUGUACGACUGCUGAGGUCCACUCCAGGCCCUGCUUGUCUGGGUUGCACCUAUAGCAGCUGCAGAACAGUGAGGGAUGCUACCAGUUUCUUUUUCUGCUAUCUUUGUCCCAG